rnacentral:rRNA from 1 species
UAGGGGGCAAGCGUUAUCCGGAUUUACUGGGUGUAAAGGGAGCGUAGACGGCAGCGCAAGUCUGGAGUGAAAUGCCGGGGCCCAACCCCGGAACUGCUCUGGAAACUGUGAAGCUGGUGUGCAGGAGAGGUAAGCGGAAUUCCUGGUGUAGCGGUGAAAUGCGUAGAUAUCAGGAGGAACACCGGCGGCGAAGGCGGCUUACUGGACUGUAACUGACGUUGAGGCUCGAAGGCGUGGGGAGCAAA